rnacentral:precursor_RNA from 1 species
UUUCUCAUCAAGCACUAGCCUAAAAUGCAAACCUGGUAUGUAUACAUAUACAUAUAUAUAUCUGCAAUUCUAAGGCACAACAGCUACCUGGUCCUGGCUGACUGGCUCUAUCCUUUUAAUUUUAUGCUCAUUGACACCCACUGCAACUCUUCUCUUAAUUAUAAGAGAAGUUCUUGUGAGCAAGAUUAUAUUUGUUCAGUUCCAUAUUUGAAUUACAUAUAUACAUAAAUAGGAUAAAGAUUUCGAUAAACAUUAUAUUCCAUUUCUUAAAAAUUGGAAACAACUGGGUCCAAGGCAUGUUUUAGUUGUGAUCAGUUAUGUACCUUUCAUUAGCACUUUAUGUUCUUAAUAAGCUCUUCAAACCAAUUUGUGGGGACCAUCUCAUCCCAAUUCAACUAACAAUGCCUAAAUAAAUCCUAACUAUUUUCAGAAGUGGUUUGUGAGGACCAUUUUAUUUCCACGAUACUCAAUGAAUGUAAAUACAAGAAUUUAGCCUGUAGAGAAACAAAGCUAGUAUGCCAUACCAGAACUUUAUCACUACCCAUAUCUAUUUUCUCAUUGCAGAUCCAAAUCAAACAUCGUUUAGGGGAUUUUGAAGCCUCUCAGAGAAAAUCCAUUUUCAGUGAAUUUUCCUAUUGCAUGAAACAAAUGCAUAUAGAAUUUAGUUUUCAUGUUCAUUACAGUUGAGGAAAAUUAAAGCAUACAAAUGAGAUCAUAUUUGAAAAAUUCGAGAAAUGAAUAGAGCUUAAUUAGAUCUAAUAGGAAAUUAAUGACUUUUCUAUGAAAAUGAAAAAUAUGCAUGAAAUACUAAAACAGUGAACCAACAAAAUAUGCUGAGUUAGACAAUAGGGAUGGAAUAGUAAUUUUUUUUCCCAUUUAGAGGUCGCAUUUGUAAUAAUCGAUAAGUUUCAUUAGAAUUGGUGGUUAAUUAGUUGUCAAAUUGAGAUUGAUUUCCUACUAAAAUUAAUUAUUGCCUUCUUCUUCCUCCUCCUCUUUCUCUCUACCACCCAAAUUAAAGAUUUUAAUCCUUAGUGAUAGAUCAUCUUGAAACAGAAAAUGCUAUUUAGAAUACAGAAAAUUUGUUUAUUCAUAACCCAUGAUUUUGAAUUUUCUUUAUAUUCUUUUUUAAAUUAAUUAGGUUUCAUGUGCUGUUCUUGUCAAUUUACUUUGUUUAUGCAUUCUUUUUUACUCAUGUCUUGUUUUGGUUGGUUCUUUUGAGAUCUAUCUUCUUGCCUUGAAGAUAGUGCUUUAAUAUUUUCUUCUUAUUAGCAGGUAUGUGAUGUUGCUAAGGUCUUGAGUGACAGAAUUGCUGUCUUUUAAUUUUUUUUAAUAAUAUCUGGUUGUUGUGUUCUUCUUUUCUAUGUCAAGGUUUGUGGAGAAUUCAUUGAUAUGGGUAUUCCCCUUUGUGUUUUAUUUCUGAUUUCUCUCAUAAUCUGCUUUUGGAAAAACACACUAGAUGAGGUAUGCCAUAUAUUUAUCAAUUCACAUCUAAUUGAUUUUCCUAAUCAGGUUAAACCCUAAUUUCCUGCCUCGAUCCAUUUUUGACAACUCGCUUUAUCAGAUCCAGAGGAGAGACUAGAUCAUGUGGCUGCUUCACCUGUUGAUGGUAGCAUGAAAAACCCAUUAGUAGUUGAAGCUGCCAGCAUGAUCUG